GGUUGUGAGACCAAUCCAGCUGCAACAUCUGUCACCCCAUUGAUCACUCUCUCUGAUCUGGCUGGAUAGGAGAGUACCCACUUCCUCCCUUAUCAUCCCAUAUAUAUCCUUCCCAAAGCUGUGUACUUGGUCAUCAUCUUCGACAUAGCAGGACUGGUCUUACCUCAUGAGUACAGCAGC
rnacentral:snRNA from 1 species